CAAGCAAAUGUGCUGAAAUCACUAUUUACUCAAGUCAGAAAGGAGGACGGCAUGCAGCAGGCAGCCCAUUGACGGUUCUCAUAGAUGUUUCUAAGAUCAAUCAAAACGUAUUUCAGAAAGAAAUAGAGGAUGCGGUACCGGUACCUGAAGGAACUUAACACCAGGAACUCUGUUGAAACUUCUGCCCAUCCUACUUCCUUUUUGAGAGUGUUUUUCCAAUAAUUUGCAUUUCCGUUAAAAGUGUUUCAUUCAUCAAGUCCCUUUAACCAUGAGAGCUAAAACACUGACACUUUUCAUCUGAACUUCUAAUGGUUUACUUUGGAAAGUCAAAACUCUGAACUAUAUGCAAGCUUUUGGGUCCAUGUAUGUAUUUUUCUGGAGGUGUUAGAAAGUCAUUGUGCUAUGAGUAAACAAGUUUAUGAAUUUUAAUGUCUGGAUGGGUUAUGGAGUUAAAAACAGAGAUACCACAAGCAGAAUAUUUAUAUAUACAUUUAUUUAUAAUGACAUUAUGGUCUAAAUAUUUACAACAUAUAGGAAACCAGAGGAUACGUUUAUACAAAGCCAGCCUGCAAAGUAUUCAAAUGUGCAAAAAUGACAGUUCAGUAUCUCAAACUACUGAUUCAGCAGACUAGCUCCUUCACUUUCACACAUUAAUAUUGAUACAAAAAAGUUCUUUUGGUAAAACCUGUAAUGCCAAGAAAAAGGACAAGUUGCCAUUUCAGUCACUAAGUCCACCAUCCUAUUGGGAGCAGUCAAGUCUCUCUAUUUUAGCUGCAACAGUUCUGAGAGACAGACCACUGUGUUUCAUUUCUAUGAUAAAUUCUGGCCAGCUUUUGAUCAAGUAGUUUUCUGACCCAGUUGAAGACAAGAGCUUAGAAGAGCAAUAAAAACAGCAAUGGCUAUCUGAGACAAGUGUGCCUGAAGGUGCCAGCUUUGGAUCAUUCCCCAAAAAAGACACAAUAAAAAAAAUAACUUCAUUUUCUUACCCAGGAUCCAGCUAUACCUGACAAUUUUAAACUAGUGAAACAGCACUUGCCAAAAUAGAAAGAACCCAAAAAUGGAAUAGGAGUGAGGAAUCUGUAGAUUUAGUACUGAAAGGAAAAGAUGGUCUUAAAAUCAUUUCCCUACUAAUAAAUAGUAAGGCUUGGUUUGUAACAAGUUAUUAUCAAAAUUGACCAAACAGUAGUAAAAUACAAAUAAAACUGUCUACAUCAGAAUAGGGGUUCUUCAUUUGGAAAGGCCAGACCAGGUCAAAUGUAUACAGGAAUGACCCCAAUGGAAUGCUGCGUUGAACAGCACAUUUCACCGAGUGUUAAAUAAAAAAGCUUCUGAGACAAAUUUGUGAUCCCACAUAAAUUUUAAGAGAUGCUAUGCCACUGAGGAAAAAAGGAUAUUUUAAAAAGAAUGAAAGCCUUUUAAGAAAGGAGACACUGCACCUCUAACUUCUGCCAAGGUCCACGAUGGUUCCCAGUACAGGCCAAAGUCUUGUUAAGUCAAAUGCAUGCAUUAUUGCUAAAGAAGAGUCACCGAGGGUCAAAAAAGUCUGUUCCGCUGUUUCCUACGGGGCCAUCCAGAAUGGCAUCUGUUGUUUAGCUCGUGGUUGUGACGACGGGAACUGAUAUCCCAAACUCCAGCCCUGUGGAAAGCUACCUGCAUUUUUAUGACCCCCGUGCUCCUCCUCUUCGUCAGAUGAGUCUGCAGCAUAAGCCACCAAGCCAAAUCCCUUCUCUGUGGUUUUCAUCUUCUUGACUGGAUAAUCUAGAAUAGAGAAAAACAACCCAAACCCCAUUCCCCGCCGAGAAAAAAGAUAAUACCAUAAAUUCGUUAAUUAAAAAAAAAAGAUGUUAAUUUUAAGUGGUUAGUUGGACGCCAUUUUGAGGUCACAGGGUCAGUGGUCACCCAAAUGCGUUGAAGGUCACACGAAAAACAGCGCCAGGAUCAGCAAAUGUGAAUCCACAGAACCAUGUAAGAAAACAGAGAAAGAAAAAAGAAACACACACACACAAAAAAAAAAAAA